AUUUAUUUUAAGCCACUAAAUUCUGGGGUGGUUUGUUAUACAGCAAUAGAUAAAUAGAACAGGCUUCAACAAUGAACGUUUGCUGAGUGUCUACUGUGUCCCAGGCACUGCAUAAGACUGGAGAAGGCACAGCAUUUUUGUCUCUGGAUUCAGGGCCUGCUAGGAGCCUUUAACUUCCUCCCCGUGCAGUCUGAACCAGACCUGAGCAGGAGCGUGUGGCACUCGGUGUCGUCUCUGCAGAAACGGCAACAAGAGCAAGGCUGAUGCUCUCAUAGCUAGGUGGAGGCCAGGGGGGCUGGGUGCUGAGCAGGGCAUCCCUCGAUGCACUUGGCUCCAGAGCUUCCUCUGUAGGGUAUGCAGGUGAAGGUGUGGUGGUGGAGGACGCCAGGGCUGAGCGACCCUGCCGGCGGCGACCCUCGGGUCUGC
rnacentral:antisense_RNA from 1 species